ACAGUGUCUGGUGGGUAGUUUGACUGGGGCGGUCUCCUCCUAAAGAGUAACGGAGGAGCACGAAGGUUGGCUAAUCCUGGUCGGACAUCAGGAGGUUAGUGCAAUGGCAUAAGCCAGCUUGACUGCGAGCGUGACGGCGCGAGCAGGUGCGAAAGCAGGUCAUAGUGAUCCGGUGGUUCUGAAUGGAAGGGCCAUCGCUCAACGGAUAAAAGGUACUCCGGGGAUAACAGGCUGAUACCGCCCAAGAGUUCAUAUCGACGGCGGUGUUUGGCACCUCGAUGUCGGCUCAUCACAUCCUGGGGCUGAAGUAGGUCCCAAGGGUAUGGCUGUUCGCCAUUUAAAGUGGUACGCGAGCUGGGUUUAGAACGUCGUGAGACAGUUCGGUCCCUAUCUGCCGUGGGCGCUGGAGAACUGAGGGGGGCUGCUCCUAGUACGAGAGGACCGGAGUGGACGCAUCACUGGUGUUCGGGUUGUCAUGCCAAUGGCACUGCCCGGUAGCUAAAUGCGGAAGAGAUAAGUGCUGAAAGCAUCUAAGCACGAAACUUGCCCCGAGAUGAGUUCUCCCUGACUCCUUGAGAGUCCUG
rnacentral:rRNA from 1 species